rnacentral:rRNA from 1 species
UACGGAGGGCGCGAGCGUUGUCCGGAAUCACUGGGCGUAAAGGGUGCGUAGGCGGCGCGGUAAGUCGGGUGUGAAAUCUCGGAGCUUAACUCCGAAACUGCAUUCGAUACUGCCGUGCUUGAGGACUGGAGAGGAGACUGGAAUUUACGGUGUAGCGGUGAAAUGCGUAGAUAUCGUAAGGAAGACCAGUGGCGAAGGCGGGUCUCUGGACAGUUCCUGACGCUGAGGCACGAAGGUCAGGGGAGCAAACGGG